CAGCAGUGGGGAAUAUUGCGCAAUGGGCGAAAGCCUGACGCAGCAACGCCGCGUGUGGGAUGACAGCUUUCGGGGUUGUUAAACCACUUUCAGUGACGACGAAAUGACGGUAGUCACAGAAGAAGGUCCGGCCAACUACGUGCCAGCAGCCGCGGUAACACGUAGGGACCAAGCGUUGUCCGGAUUUAUUGGGCGUAAAGAGCUCGUAGCGGUUCCGUAAGUCGGAUGUGAAAACUCAGGGCUCAACCCUGAGACGCCAUCUGAUACUGCGGUGACUAGAGUCCGGUAGGGGAGCAUGGAAUUCCUGGUGUAGCGGUGGAAUGCGCAGAUAUCAGGAGGAACACCAAUGGCGAAGGCAGUGCUCUGGGCCGGUACUGACGCUGAGGAGCGAAAGCAUGGGGAGCAAACAGGAUUAGAUACCCUGGUAG
rnacentral:rRNA from 1 species